GGCACUCGACAAAUAGCUGGGAAAGUCGGCUGACCGUAAAUCAGUUUCCGUAAGGAUUGCAAGGUUCGAUUCCUUGGGGUGCCACCA
rnacentral:tRNA from 1 species